UUUCGCAUACAUUUUUUGACAGAUUGACGAUUUGGCGAUGUCGACGAAGUAGGGGAAUUAUGCCUAUUUUAAUCAAUGACCUAUCUUCAGCCUAUCGCAUUUUCUAACCUUAAUAUUUUACAAAUAAACUCAUUUUAAAGAGCCACAAACCAGCCAAACUAUGAGCAAGAAGUGAGCAUGCAUCCUAGUGAAAGAUUUAAUCCGAAAAACACUAUAUUUUUACAAAAAACAGGAAAAAUGUAUUUGGCUCGUGUUUUUUUCCUUACCUGACACCGUCAUUUAAGCCGGCCUGAUAAAUCUUCUGACCGCUUAAGCAUAGUCCUUUGAAUCAGACCACUUUUGUUUUACUUUUUACCUCACUAUUUUACACUUUUUAAUUAUGUUCAUUGCUGCAAUUUAAACAUACGUUUAUUUCACAUCGAGCUUCUCAAUUUUUUUUACGCGAAAUGUUGUUUUAAUUGAAGAAAUACACUUUUUAAAAAAAAUGCCGAAGCACUAGCUCCCAACAUAUUUUCAACACUUUUGAACAAUCUUCUUAAUUGACACCAAUACAAGCGCAACUACAGUGUUGCCAAACUGAAACAUAUUAUUUCUCAUCUUGGUCCAUGCUUGCAUAAUCUUUUUCGUCCAUUUUAUUAACAUUUGCCUCAAAACUGGCAACCGAUGUUAAGAAAUGCUUUGAAAAAAUGUUUAGGCCCUUUGCAUUAUUGAUUGACAGUUGUGAUGUGUCAAAAUCAAAAUUUUCUUCAAGUGUAAACAGCAAAAUGAUUUCGGGUAAGCUAAAAAAGGGAUUUUUUGAUAAAGACUGAAUUGAACAAAUGUAUUUAUUUCAGAAACAGACGAAGAACCGAUGGAUUUGUCGAUUCCUGGCCGACCCAGCCAGAACCUGGACAUUCCAGCUCGCCGGCGAUGUUUAUUUGUGUCAGCGUCACACCCAGUUGACCUCAGCUAUCGCGAAACUAUCGGCACUACAAGCUUCGAUCGGAACAGCAGCUUCGGCGUUCCUCUCCCGGUUCGUCCCCUGGCGGCCAACCAGCAGCGUGCGGUCAGUCCCGGAACGUUCGGCAGCAACAGCUGCUUUGGUGCUCCUCCCCAGGGCGUCAGCGCGUUGAUAGCCUCGUUUCGUCCCCUGGCGGCCAGUCCCGGAUCGUACAGCAGCUUCGGUGCUCCCCCCCAAAGCGUCAGCGCUUUGACAGCAUCGGUUCGUCCCCUGGCGGCCAACCAGCGGCGUGCGGUCAGUCCCGGAACGGAACGUGAGCUGAUUGAGAAAGAUCCGAACGCCGACAACGUGACCGGUCCCGGAGGGCUCACCAGCAGAAGCAGCUUCGAUGCUCCUCUCCAGAACGAUGAGACUGGGUCGGCGUCUCAAACCACGGAAAAAGGUAGGGUAUUAUUUUUGGGAUGUUCAAUAGGAAAAUUGCGAGUGGUGAGAGCUUACUAUUGGUUUGGUAAUUGCGUUCUAAAAUUAAUUGUCUGUCCUUGAUGUAGGUAAUUUUGCUUUUAAAACAGUUUUUCACUUUUUUAACAUUACAUGUAACAUUACAUAAGCAAAUAUUACACCAAUAAGUAUUGAGUGGCUCUGUACGAUUUCGCAAAUCGUCUUAUCUUAGUAUUUUUCAAUUUGGAUUUGGAUUCCCUAUGUCAAAAGACAAUUUUUAGGGCUGCUCAUACAAAAUGGGUAUGUAAAUGUAUACAAUUCUGUAUCUUGAGAAGAAAUGUUCUGACCGAUUUGGUGUCUUCGGCAAAGUUGUAGGUUCUGAUUAGAACUUUUCGGGUAAAAGUAGGUACACGGAAAGAAAAUCGUCUUUUAUUUAACAUUUUAACCAUUCAAUUAGUUUCUUAGAUACAGCCUCACAAAGAAUUCAAAAACAGUUAGUUAAAUUUACAGGCUAAUUAGGUGACAGACACUUAAAAGAAUUUACUUCAUUGAUUCGAAUUCAUUGUGUACUCUGACAAGCAAAAACAUGUUCUGACUGGAUCCAAGAAUUAGUUAAAAGUGAAAAAUACAAAAUCAAAUAGGAGCAAAACAAAGUAAGUUUGUUUGAGUACUAUAGUUAUUUUUUUCUAUUUUAAUUCAAGAGCAUUGGGCACUGUUCUUUGUUUAUUUUUCAGAUGCCAUACGCCGAGUACCGGCCCAGCAGUGGAAACAUGGUUCGAUGCCGGGCAUGGCAUCGAUCUUGUCAUUGUAAAUACUAGCAACCACAUUUAUCAUCCAGUCAGUGCCAUUAGUCCACAUCAUCCGAUUACGGCCGGAAUGAGCGAGGGAUCUAAUCAAAGUUUCUGCUGUUCCAGAUUUCGGUCGAUGGAGGAGAAGGCGGACGGAAAAUUUCGAGAAGGCGGACGGAAAAUGUCGUGAACCCGGCGGGCUAUGCCGGAAAAUGGGAGGGCAAGUAACCGGUCAGCGAUCGCGGAAGCAAUCCUCCUUGCGGAGGAGAAUGAAACGUCAAGUAAUAAAAAGGUGGAGGAGGACUAAAUAAAAAAAAACUCCCGGCAGCGAUCCUGAUCCGCCAAAAAUUGUUAUCAAUGGAACUGAGUGCUUUUUGCUGGACGUGGACCAGCAAGUAGAGAAGGACAAUGAAAGUGCGUUGGUGGUGUUGAACUUCUAGCGGAAUGGCAAAAGCGCAAUUAUCAAGAACUCAUUCUUCUUCCUGGAGAUACUUUCGGUCGAGAAUAUUCUCCAGGUGAAGGCGAUGGAGGUGGACAAAUUACAGCACUUGAAC